AUUGAACGCUGGCGGCAGGCCUAACACAUGCAAGUCGAGCGGAUGAAGGGAGCUUGCUCCUGGAUUCAGCGGCGGACGGGUGAGUAAUGCCUAGGAAUCUGCCUGGUAGUGGGGGAUAACGUCCGGAAACGGGCGCUAAUACCGCAUACGUCCUGAGGGAGAAAGUGGGGGAUCUUCGGACCUCACGCUAUCAGAUGAGCCUAGGUCGGAUUAGCUAGUUGGUGGGGUAAAGGCCUACCAAGGCGACGAUCCGUAACUGGUCUGAGAGGAUGAUCAGUCACACUGGAACUGAGACACGGUCCAGACUCCUACGGGAGGCAGCAGUGGGGAAUAUUGCGCAAUGGGCGAAAGCCUGAUCCAGCGAUGCCGCGUGUGUGAAGAAGGUCUUCGGAUUGUAAAGCACUUUAAGUUGGGAGAAAGGGCAGUAAGUUAAUACCUUGCUGUUUUGACGUUACCAACAGAAUAAGCACCGGCUAACUUCGUG
rnacentral:rRNA from 1 species